rnacentral:rRNA from 1 species
UGGGGAAUCUUGCGCAAUGGGCGAAAGCCUGACGCAGCAACGCCGCGUGAGCGAAGAAGGCCUUCGGGUUGUAAAGCUCUGUCAGGAGGGACGAAGCCACUCGGGUGAACAGCCCAGAGGGUGACGGUACCUCCAGAGGAAGCCCCGGCUAACUACGUGCCAGCAGCCGCGGUAAUACGUAGGGGGCGAGCGUUGUCCGGAAUCAUUGGGCGUAAAGCGCGUGUAGGCGGCUUGGCAAGUCUGGUGUGAAAGCUCGAGGCUCAACCUCGAGUCUGCACCGGAAACUGCCUUGCUAGAGUCCGGAAGAGGAGACUGGAAUUCCUGGUGUAGCGGUGAAAUGCGCAGAUAUCAGGAAGAACACCGGUGGCGAAGGCGGGUCUCUGGGACGGUACUGACGCUGAGACGCGAAAGCGUGGGGAGCAAACAGG